rnacentral:rRNA from 1 species
ACUCAAAUGAAUUGACGGGGGCCCGCACAAGCAGCGGAGCGUGUGGUUUAAUUCGAUGCAACGCGAAGAACCUUACCUAGGCUUGACAUGGAUGUGGUAGCGACCUGAAAGGGAAGCGACCCGCAAGGGAGCAUUCACAGAUGCUGCAUGGCUGUCGUCAGCUCGUGCCGUGAGGUGUUGGGUUAAGUCCCGCAACGAGCGCAACCCCCGCCGUCAGUUACCUUCUCUGGCGGGACCGCCGGUACAAACCGGAGGAAGGUGGGGAUGACGUCAAGUCAGCACGGCUCUUACGUCUAGGGCUACACACACGCUACAAUGGUCGGUACAACGGGCUGCGAAGGGGCGACCUGGAGCUAAUCCCAACAAAGCCGAUCUCAGUUCGGAUUGCAGGCUGAAACUCGCCUGCAUGAAGUCGGAGUUGCUAGUAACCGCUGGUCAGCACACAGCGGUGAAUACGUUCCCGGGCCUUGCACACACCGCCCGU